CAGUAGCCGCGGUAAUACGUAGGGGGCAAGCGUUGUCCGGAAUUAUUGGGCGUAAAGCGCGCGCAGGCGGUUUUUUAAGUCUGGUGUCUAAGUGCGGGGCUCAACCCCGUGACGCACUGGAAACUGGGAGACUUGAGUGCAGAAGAGGAGAGCGGAAUUCCACGUGUAGCGGUGAAAUGCGUAGAGAUGUGGAGGAACACCAGUGGCGAAGGCGACUCUCUGGUCUGUAACUGACGCUGAGGAGCGAAAGCGUGGGGAGCGAACAGGAUUAGAUACCCCGGUAGUCCCUGUCUCUUAUACA
rnacentral:rRNA from 1 species